GAUGAACGCUGGCGGCGUGCCUAAUACAUGCAAGUCGAGCGAACAGACGAGGAGCUUGCUCCUCUGACGUUAGCGGCGGACGGGUGAGUAACACGUGGAUAACCUACCUAUAAGACUGGGAUAACUUCGGGAAACCGGAGCUAAUACCGGAUAAUAUAUUGAACCGCAUGGUUCAAUAGUGAAAGACGGUUUUGCUGUCACUUAUAGAUGGAUCCGCGCCGCAUUAGCUAGUUGGUAAGGUAACGGCUUACCAAGGCAACGAUGCGUAGCCGACCUGAGAGGGGGAUCGGCCACACUGGAACUGAGACACGGUCCAGACUCCUACGGGAGGCAGCAGUAGGGAAUCUUCCGCAAUGGGCGAAAGCCUGACGGAGCAACGCCGCGUGAGUGAUGAAGGUCUUCGGAUCGUAAAACUCUGUUAUUAGGGAAGAACAAAUGUGUAAGUAACUAUGCACGUCUUGACGGUACCUAAUCAGAAAGCCACGGCGAACUACGU
rnacentral:rRNA from 1 species